AUUGAACGCUGGCGGCAUGCCUUACACAUGCAAGUCGAACGGCAGCGGACCUUCGGGUGCCGGCGAGUGGCGAACGGGUGAGUAAUAUAUCGGAACGUACCUUUCAGUGGGGGAUAACGUAGCGAAAGUUACGCUAAUACCGCAUAUUCUGUGAGCAGGAAAGCAGGGGAUCGCAAGACCUUGCGCUGAUUGAGCGGCCGAUAUCAGAUUAGCUAGUUGGUGAGGUAAAGGCUCACCAAGGCGACGAUCUGUAGCGGGUCUGAGAGGAUGAUCCGCCACACUGGAACUGAGACACGGUCCAGACUCCUACGGGAGGCAGCAGUGGGGGAAUUUUUGGACAAUGGGCGCAAGCCUGAUCCAGCCAUGCCGCGUGAGUGAAGAAGGCCUCGGUUGUAAG
rnacentral:rRNA from 1 species